UACGUAGGCAGCGAGCGUUGUUCGGAGUUACUGGGCGUAAAGGGUGUGUAGGCGGUUGUUUAGGUUUGGUGUGAAAUCUCCCGGCUCAACUGGGAGGGUGCGCCGAAUACUGAAUGACUAGAGUGCGGGAGAGGAAAGUGGAAUUCCUGGUGUAGCGGUGAAAUGCGUAGAUAUCAGGAGGAACACCGGUGGUGUAGACGGCUUUCUGGACCGCAACUGACGCUGAGACACGAAAGCGUGGGUAGCAAACAGG
rnacentral:rRNA from 1 species